rnacentral:rRNA from 1 species
UACGUAGGGUCCGAGCGUUGUCCGGAAUUACUGGGCGUAAAGAGCUCGUAGGGGGUUUGUCGCGUUGUUCGUGAAAACUCACAGCUCAACUGUGGGCGUGCGGGCGAUACGGGCAGACUAGAGUACUGCAGGGGAGACUGGAAUUCCUGGUGUAGCGGUGGAAUGCGCAGAUAUCAGGAGGAACCCCGGUGGCGAAGGCGGGUCUCUGGGCCGUAACUGACGCUGAGGAGCGAAAGCGUGGGGAGCGAACAGG